AUUGAACGCUGGCGGCAGGCUUAACACAUGCAAGUCGAGCGGAGAGAGGUAGCUUGCUACUGAUCUUAGCGGCGGACGGGUGAGUAAUGCUUAGGAAUCUGCCUAUUAGUGGGGGACAACAUUUCGAAAGGAAUGCUAAUACCGCAUACGUCCUACGGGAGAAAGCAGGGGAUCUUCGGACCUUGCGCUAAUAGAUGAGCCUAAGUCGGAUUAGCUGGUUGGUGGGGUAAAGGCCGACCAAGGCGACGAUCUGUAGCGGGUCUGAGAGGAUGAUCCGCCACACUGGGACUGAGACACGGCCCAGACUCCUACGGGAGGCAGCAGUGGGGAAUAUUGGACAAUGGGCGCAAGCCUGAUCCAGCCAUGCCGCGUGUGUGAAGAAGGCCUUAUGGUUGUAAAGCACUUUAAGCGAGGAGGAGGCUACUUUAGAUAAUACCUAGAGAUAGUGGACGUUACUCGCAGAAUAAGCACCGGCUAACUCUGUGCCAGCCGCCGCGGUAA
rnacentral:rRNA from 1 species